rnacentral:rRNA from 1 species
CCUACGGGAGGCAGCAGUGGGGAAUUUUGGACAAUGGGCGCAAGCCUGAUCCAGCAAUGCCGCGUGAGUGAAGAAGGCCUUCGGGUUGUAAAGCUCUUUUGUCAGGGAAGAAACGGCCGAGGUUAAUACCUUUGGCUAAUGACGGUACCUGAAGAAUAAGCACCGGCUAACUACGUGCCAGCAGCCGCGGUAAUACGUAGGGUGCAAGCGUUAAUCGGAAUUACUGGGCGUAAAGCGUGCGCAGGCGGUUUUGUAAGUCUGACGUGAAAUCCCCGGGCUCAACCUGGGAAUUGCGUUGGAGACUGCAAGGCUGGAGUCUGGCAGAGGGGGGUAGAAUUCCACGUGUAGCAGUGAAAUGCGUAGAGAUGUGGAGGAACACCGAUGGCGAAGGCAGCCCCCUGGGUCAAGACUGACGCUCAUGCACGAAAGCGUGGGGAGCAAACAGGAUUAGAUACCCUGGUAGUCCACGCCCUAAACGAUGUCUACUAGUUGUCGGGUCUUAAUUGACUUGGUAACGCAGCUAACGCGUGAAGUAGACCGCCUGGGGAGUACGGUCGCAAGAUUAAAACCUUAAAGGAAUUGACGG